rnacentral:lncRNA from 1 species
AUUCCAGUUGCAGACUCUUAUCCCAUAGCAUUUGACAAAUCAAAUUGGAAAGGGACCGAGUCUCUUCUUUACUUUUACCUCUUUUAUUUUUAUAUUUAUAGAUCAGCCAGCUGAGCAAAGAAACAAAGAAAUCACAAGGGCCUUAGGAGCUAAGACAAGAGCUAACAAAGGCAAUCGCUUCUCCGAGCUAUUACGGCUAGAAGGAAGGUGA